AACUUCUCAUUACGUGAGUCAUAAUUACAGAAUGAAGGGGACAGCUGAAGGCGGACAGUGGGCGUGGGAGUGGGGAACAGAGGUUUGCGUGGAGCUCUCCUCUUAAAUGUGAGUUCUCAGAUUGGCCCUGGUCCUCCUCCUAGAAACUGAAUU